UACAGAGGUCCCGAGCGUUGUUCGGAUUCACUGGGCGUAAAGGGUGCGUAGGCGGUUCUGAAAGUCUGAUGUGAAAUCUCCAGGCCCAACCUGGAAACGACAUUAGAAACUACAGGGCUAGCGGCUUGGAGGGGGAACUGGAAUGCUCGGUGUAGCAGUGAAAUGCGUAGAGAUCGAGCGGAACACCAGUGGCGAAGGCGAGUUCCUGGACAAGUCCUGACGCUGAGGCACGAAAGCCAGGGGAGCAAACAGG
rnacentral:rRNA from 1 species